rnacentral:rRNA from 1 species
UACGGAGGGUGCAAGCGUUAUCCGGAUUCACUGGGUUUAAAGGGUGCGUAGGUGGGUAGGUAAGUCAGUGGUGAAAUCUCCGGGCUUAACUCGGAAACUGCCAUUGAUACUAUCUGUCUUGAAUACCGUGGAGGUUAGCGGAAUAUGUCAUGUAGCGGUGAAAUGCUUAGAUAUGACAUAGAACACCAAUUGCGAAGGCAGCUGGCUACACGAAUAUUGACACUGAUGCACGAAAGCGUGGGGAUCAAACAGG